rfam:Gossypium hirsutum cultivar TM-1 unplaced genomic scaffold scaffold1585.1, whole genome shotgun sequence
AACCCAUGGUGAGGGCAUCUUCUCAAUAAAUCCUUGUAUCUCUCCCAUGCAUCAUAAAAAGUUUCUAGAUCCAUCUACACAAAAAAAGAGAUAUCAUUCCUCAAUUU